UCCUUCUUAUCGAAGGCAGUUUCUCAAGAGUGCCCUGCUUGCGCAGGUAGCAACGUGAGAUAGGGGUUGCGCUCGUUGCGGGACUUAACCCAACAUCUCACGACACGAGCUGACGACAACCAUGCAGCACCUCUGCUGGCUUCCUUGCGGAUCAGUCUCUGUUUCCAAAGACUUACUACCAGUAGUUCAAGCCCAGGUAAGGUUCUUCGCGUCGCAUCGAAUUAAGCAACAUGCUCCGCCGCUUGUGCGGGGCCCCGUCAAUUCCUUUGAGUUUUAGCCUUGCGGCCGUACUCCCCAGGCGGGGUGCUUAAUGCGUUAGCUUCGGCACGGACGGGGUCGAUGUCCGCCCACACCUAGCACCCAACGUUUACGGCUAGGACUAC
rnacentral:misc_RNA from 1 species